rnacentral:ncRNA from 1 species
AAAAAGUUUUAUUAUUAUUUUAAGGGGUUAAAUUAAAUUUAAUAUUUACAUGUAAAUGUUAGUGGGAGAAAUAAAGAUUAAUAUUUAAAUAAUGUGAUAAUUAGGGGUUAUUCGCAGUAGAAAAUUUUAAAUAUUAGUGAAAGUUAGAUUUGGGGAAAAUUUUUAGUAUUAACAAAAUUUGUGCCAGCAGUUGCGGUUAUACAAAUAAUACGAUUUAACUAGGUUUAGUAUUAAUAUGUAGUAAAUAAUAAAUUUUAAGGGAGAAUUUAUUAGGUGGAAUUUUAAAUUUUGAGGGGAUUUAUUUUUGAUUAUUAGUUAAGAAAUUUAUAAAUAGACUAGGAUUAGAUACCCUAUUAUUUUAAAUGUAAAUUUAUGCUAGAUUAGUAUUAGUUAAGUUCUUGAAAAUUAAAGAUUUUGGCGGUUUUUUAGUCUGUUCAGAGGAACCUGUCCUAUAAUUGAUAGUCCACGAUUUGAAAGACUUUUUUUAUAGUUUAUAUAUCGUCGUAGUUAGAAUAUUCUAAAAGGAGAAUAAUUUUCAAGAAUUAUUUUUUAAGGAAAAUCAGAUCAAGGUAUAGCUUAUAAAAAAGAAGAGAUGGGUUACAUUAAUUUUAAUUUUGGAUUAUUUUUUAAAAAGAAAUAUGAAUUUGGAUUUGAAUGUAAUUUUAUUGAGAUAAAUAAAAUGAUUUAAGCUCUAAAAUAUGUACAUAUCGCCCGUCGCUUUCAUUUUAAGGUGAAAUAAGUCGUAACAAAGUAGGUUUACUGGAAAGUGGGUCUGGAAAGCA